AUCCAGCUGAAGAGUCGUGAAUAGGAUGAAAUGCGCAUCAAACUGGAU
rfam:Schistosoma mansoni, Puerto Rico, WGS project CABG01000000 data, contig: 0207